rnacentral:rRNA from 1 species
AACGAACGCUGGCGGCAUGCCUAACACAUGCAAGUCGAACGAGAUCUUCGGGUCUAGUGGCGCACGGGUGCGUAACGCGUGGGAAUCUGCCCUUUGGUUCGGAAUAACAGUUGGAACCGACUGCUAAUACCGGAUGAUGACGAAAGUCCAAAGAUUUAUCGCCAGAGGAUGAGCCCGCGUAGGAUUAGCUAGUUGGUGUGGUAAAGGCGCACCAAGGCGACGAUCCUUAGCUGGUCUGAGAGGAUGAUCAGCCACACUGGGACUGAGACACGGCCCAGACUCCUACGGGAGGCAGCAGUGGGGAAUAUUGGACAAUGGGCGAAAGCCUGAUCCAGCAAUGCCGCGUGAGUGAUGAAGGCCUUCGGGUCGUAAAGCUCUUUUACCAGGGAUGAUAAUGACAGUACCUGGAGAAUAAGCUCCGGCUAACUCCGUGCCAGCCGCCGCAGUAA